GACGAACGCUGGCGGCGUGCCUAAUACAUGCAAGUUGAGCGCUGAAGGUUGGUACUUGUACCGACUGGAUGAGCAGCGAACGGGUGAGUAACGCGUGGGGAAUCUGCCUUUGAGCGGGGGACAACAUUUGGAAACGAAUGCUAAUACCGCAUAAAAACUUUAAACACAAGUUUUAAGUUUGAAAGAUGCAAUUGCAUCACUCAAAGAUGAUCCCGCGUUGUAUUAGCUAGUUGGUGAGGUAAAGGCUCACCAAGGCGAUGAUACAUAGCCGACCUGAGAGGGUGAUCGGCCACAUUGGGACUGAGACACGGCCCAAACUCCUACGGGAGGCAGCAGUAGGGAAUCUUCGGCAAUGGACGAAAGUCUGACCGAGCAACGCCGCGGGAGUGAAGAAGGUUUUCGGAUCGUAAAACUCUGUUGGUAGAGAAGAACGUUGGUGAGAGUGGAAUGCUCAUCAAGUGACGGUAACUACCCAGAAAGGGACGGCUAACUACGUG
rnacentral:rRNA from 1 species